rnacentral:rRNA from 1 species
UACGAAGGGGGCUAGCGUUGUUCGGAAUCACUGGGCGUAAAGCGCACGUAGGCGGAUCUUUAAGUCAGGGGUGAAAUCCCGAGGCUCAACCUCGGAACUGCCUUUGAUACUGGGGAUCUCGAGUCCGGGAGAGGUGAGUGGAACUGCGAGUGUAGAGGUGAAAUUCGUAGAUAUUCGCAAGAACACCAGUGGCGAAGGCGGCUCACUGGCCCGGUACUGACGCUGAGACGCGAAAGCGUGGGGAGCGAACAGG